UUUAAGUGCAGUUGUGGAUUUUUGUGUCUAAUGUUUGAACCGUCUAUCUUAUUUGAAUUUUUUUUUUGCGAUUAGUAUUUUUAUUGUUAUUGGAUGAUAAAACAUGAAUAAUAAUUUACGAGUGACUUAUUUUUUUUAUUCUUUCAUAAUUUUUUCAAAUAAGAUGGACAGUCAACGUUGGAUACUCACAACUGCACUUAAA
rfam:Oryza nivara chromosome 7, whole genome shotgun sequence.